ACACUAGCCGUGAGACCAUUUACACUAGCCGUGAGACCAUUGACACUAGCCGUGAGACUAUGACACUAGUCGUGACACUAGCCGUGAGACCAUGACACUAGCCGUGAGACUAUUGACACUAGUCGUGACACUAGCCGUGAGACUAUGACACUAUGAGACUAUGACACUAUGAAACUAUGACACUAGUCGUGACACUAUGACACUAGCUGUGACACGUGAGACUAUGACACUAUGAGACUAUGACACUAUGACACUAGCCGUGACACUAUGACACUAGCUGUGAGACUGUGACACUAGCCGUGAGACUGUGACACUAGCCGUGAGACUGUGACACUAGCCGUGAGACUAUGACACUGGCCGUGAGACCAUGACACUAGCCGUGAGACCAUGACACUAGCCGUGAGACCAUGACACUAGCCGUGAGACCAUGACACUAGCCAUGAGACCAUGACACUAGCCGUGAGACCAUGACACUAGCCGUGAGACCAUGACACUAGCCGUGAGACCAUGACACUAGCCGUGAGACUAUGACACUAUGAAACUAUGACACUAGCCGUGACACUGUGACACUAGCCGUGAGACUGUGACACUAGCCGUGAGACUUGACACUAGCCGUGAGACUGUGACACUAUGAGACUAUGACACUAGCCGUGACACUAUGACACUAGCUGUGACACUAGCCGUGAGACUAUGACACUAUGAGACUAUGACACUAGUCGUGACACUAUGACACUAGCUGUGACACUAGCCGUGACACUAGCCGUGAGACUAUGACACUAUGAGACUAUGACACUAUGAAACUAUGACACUAGCCGUGAGACUGACACUAGCCGUGAGACUGACACUAGCCGUGAGACUGUGAGACUAGCUGUGAGACUGUGCUAGAAGGCUUUCUAUUUGAGGUCUGUCUGUGUGUUUAACUGUGGCGUUGUCAUAUUGCGCUGCUUUAUGUAUUGUAUAUAACUUGUUUUGCUUUUCUAAUGUGAACCAACAAACGUUCGGUUCACGUAAGUGAAUCUAUAUUGUUAUGAAAAUACCCACCCAGGCCGUAAGGAGCUGUGAAAUUGUAAUGUCUUAUGGGUUGUUUUGUGGGUUUUUUUGUUGAGGGGUUGAGCACAUUUGUACUCUCUGCAAGGCAAACUCUGUUUCUUAUCACCCUCAUAGACAUACAUUGGUUAAUGCAGUCUACAGUAUGUUCAUUAUACUCUUUAACAAAUACAACCUGUGUCCAUGUCUUUGUUCUGUGUCUUCAUGGUGAAUCAUGUUCUGUAUCUGUUCUGCUAGAGUCCUCUGCUGCUAGCCACAUCG
ensembl:lncRNA